UAUUUGUGCAAACAAAACACUGUUACUCUCUCUUUCUCCUCCCACAUACAGACCCACGCCUCUCUACCUCCCAAAAAGACCGGUAAGCUCUCUCUCAUCGUUGUCAUCGAUCCUCUCUCUCUCAUCACUCUUUUUUCUUCUUUCAGGAUUAGCAUGAUAUUGAUUUCAGGAGGUGUUGGUUUUAGGACAUAAAUUUUGGGAUUGGAGAAGCUUCUAAGUGGGUCAAGGGGGAGCAAUUGGAAGAAGUUGUGGCCAUUAAAAACACAUAUGGGAUUGGUGGCAAAAAGAUAGCUUUUGUGGGACUAUUUGAACUCAAAUAAUUUUCUAUGAAGUUUGGAAGCUAAGACAUCAUUUGUAUAUAAAUGGUUGUAAUUACUUUGUGAACAUCUUUAUUGCAUUUUGAGAUUGUAUGGAUUUAUUUAUUUAUUUAUG